rnacentral:rRNA from 1 species
CUUUCUUUGCUGGCGACCGGCGCACGGGUGAGUAACGCGUAUCCAACCUGCCCUUUACUCGGGGAUAGCCUUUCGAAAGAAAGAUUAAUACCCGAUAGUAUAAUGAUUCCGCAUGGUUUCAUUAUUAAAGGAUUCCGGUAAAGGAUAGGGAUGCGUUCCAUUAGGUUGUUGGUGAGGUAACGGCUCACCAAGCCUUCGAUGGAUAGGGGUUCUGAGAGGAAGGUCCCCCACAUUGGAACUGAGACACGGUCCAA